GGGCGGAGGGAGGGCCUGGAAAGCUCCUGAGCUGCCCAUGGGUGACGGGGCGGCCGAGCAGGGGAGGCAGGCAGGGCGCAGCCGGCUGCUUCACCUCGGCUUCAACCGCAGCCCUGUAUGCCGAGCACGCAGCUCCUGGCAGCGCCGCUCAUACCAGAGCCUUGACUCAGGGUUAUCUGCAUGCUGGGUAACGAGCGGCGUCACCAGAGGAAUGUGCAGAGAAAGCAGCCAUGCUGCUGCUGCAAGCCUCCGCUCGCUCCUCGGGCCGGCCGCGGCCGCCUGCUUCUGCCUCCCGGCCACUGAUGAGUGGCACGAGGUGGGGGCUUCGCCCCGGGGCCAGCCCCGAGCCCACGUCGAAGCCACAAUGAUGUUUUGCCCUUCUGUGAGUAAGUGCUUGGUGCUGAGAGCCGGACAGGGCUCUGCUAGCCGUAACAGGGCUGCAGCAAGGAGAGGUGAUGCCACUCUCCCCAGCGCUCUGUGUUUGUCCCUCUCCCAGCCGGGCAAGCUGCAGCAUUUCAGCCAAAUCACCUGUCAGAGCGAGGGCGACGGCGGCCUCUGGUUCCUGCCCCAGCUGCCGCUCUCCUUUCCCCUGGGAUAACAGGGCCUGGCACUAACAACUGCGCACAGCUGAACCCCAAGGCGCCUGUGCGACACGGGAGCAGCUCCCAGCGCCACGCCACGUGCCCGCAGCCUGCGUCCUUCCCCCAGACAGCUCCGAGGCUGCAGCCGGUCCUGCUGAUGCAACCCCGCGAGGGCCGGGGUGAAGGAGAGUGCAGAGCUGUGUGUCAGAGGUAGGAGCUCCCCUUUGGCGAUGAUGGAAAGCACGGCGCGCUCAAAUCAAAGGCAGGACGGGGGCUGCUUUGAAUCGCUGUGUUCCAGAGCUAUCUGAGGCAAUCUCCCUCUUCCCUGCACGCAGCGAGGGAAAAGAUCAGAGCGCAGCCCAGGUUUUCAUGUGAACAUGUCCAGGCUGGCACGCAGCUGGGCGUUGCUGAUAUGCCUGACUCUGUGCUACAUGUAAAGAUAAUCCCUCCAUGAAGAACUCAGACUGCAGUGAUAAGAGAGGCCAGUUGGUGCAUCUCUUUUCUCCCACCUCCUUUGGUGCAAGAUUAUUCCCUGUAUCUUAUCAAAAGGAAGCAGCCUUUCAAGAGCUGUACCUUGAGGAGUGCCCGGAAUGGCAAUCAGUUCCAGCGCCGUAGCAGACCCUGCAGACGUCACUCCGAGGCUACGCUUCUCGCCUCUGAACACAUGGCUGGUGAUGUUCCCGGGCUGUGUGCUUGCUGUAAACGAGCACGCUCCCCGCCGUGCAGCUCGGCCCAGAUGCAGUGACUGCGCCUCUGGAGCCAGGCUCAGCGUGGGCAGGAGAAGAGCCAAGGAGCUCGGCGCUCCGUGCCGCGUCGCCCCUCUCGCUGGGGAGCUGCUCUGCAGCUCCUCAGUGUUAACCCAGCAGCACUCGGCACCCAGAGAUGCAGAUGGAUGUUGGAGGGUGAUUUUCAGCUCCGUCGGCGUGGGGCUGAGCCUGCCCAAAGUGCCCUGUACAGCCCAGCAGCACUCCCCAGCCCGCGGGUCAGCAAGCGCUGCAGGAAUCUCUCCUGCUGAGGUGCAAGCUGUAGUUCCUGUUGCUUUUAUUGACUCUGCAGGAGGAGUGCCUGCCCUGCUGCUGUGUUUUUUCAGCAUCAGACAGACGGCAUGUCUGUCUUUCCUCCUCACAGCAGAAGAACCCAUGGAGAUGUAUCUAACCAUUGGCUUUGCAGCUAUCUUUUAUGUAGCUGCUCCAGUUUUCUCUCAGUCCGUUUGCCUGUCAACGUGCUUCAUGCUUCACAGGCUUCUGGUUUACUUUCCCCAAGGAUUAUUCUGUCUCAGCAUCCCAAAUCCGUUCAGACAGCAGUUUGUCCUCCUUUGAGCACCAGGCUAGAGGGGCAGAAGCCAGAGGGGCCUGUUUGCUCCAGCAAGACAAAGCGUACAAGCUCACCUAUUUCACUUGCUGCCAUUGCUAAGUCCUUCCUGUAAUUCCCCUGCCUCCUUCCCUGCUGGGACCGAUAAUCUCACCUGGCUGCCUUGCUCCACAUCUCCUUAAAGAGGUCCUUAAAGAGGCAGGUCACGAGUACCACUUUGUUUACAAAUACCUCAAGGCAGACUUGUGUAUGGCGUAAGCACAGGAUCUCCUACCAAAGCACCUUUUUCCUGUUUGGGAAUUUGCGAGGGUAAACGAGGUAUGUGCGAAGAGCGAACUGCAAGGCCCCGAGUCCUCUCUAAAUCUCACUGUUUAUUUGGAAGCUCGAUAGAUGUUGGGAUCAGAGUGGAGUACACGUUACCUGUGUACGUGUUACAGAGGAGCCACUGUCAUUUUUCACCUUCAUAGUUUGAAAUAUACAUCACCGACAGACGUCCUUAUAUCCUUGGCCUGCGUGGUGCUCCAGUGCCCCUUAGGAAUUCUUGAGCGUACCAAGGCGGUGUGACUGGCCCUGGUAUUUAUUUCCUUAAUAAAAGUGAAAUUGCUGACUGUGGGAGGGGGGUGGCUUCUGGCAGGAAAGAGCAAGAAAUGGAAAGGUGCCUCGGUGGGGACAUGCGUCAAGGUGUUCCAGAGUCAGCCUGAAACAGAGGCUGGGGGAAGAACAAGUGCCAGAGGCAAAGACAAGAAAGGAAAACUCAGCGAGCUCUGUCCUUCAGCAGGCAGGUUUCUGCUUUUAAAUGCCAGGGAGAUGCUCAGAAACUGUUGUGACAGGGGGCUUUUAUAAACCCAGACAGAUAAAUAAGAGUCAGAUGGUCGCAGCAGAACUUUACAGAGCAGCAAAGCACCGCGAGUGCCGUCCGUGAGAUAGCUGGCAGCAGGUCGUGUGCUGAAGAGUCCCUCGUAACCAGUCCAUCCGUGAGUAAGAAAUAAUGAGAGCUCCUGAAGUGAGAGGCAGCAGAUAAUCAAAGGCAACGCUGUCACUAGGUGACGGCCCUUAAAUGUUGAGCUUGCAAAUAUCUCAAUGGUGGUAAUUGUUAUUUCCUCAUCAGCCAAAGAUGUGCAACAGAGCUAGAAGACAAAGAUGUGGUCUUCUCCCAGAUGCUUGUAAUUUAAAUAUUAAGGGAGAAAGAACAGAAAGGGAUGUUGAAAAGUUGGAAAGCACUGUUUGAGCAGGAAAAAAAAAUCAAAAUAGUAGGACUUGGCACACUGGGUGGUGAUAGGUGAAGGAGCCAGGUUCUAGCAGGUGAAAUUUAGGGCACAAGCACUUGCUCACAUUUUGCGUAGCUGAAAUUAAAUAUACCAAAAUAUCUGGGGGAAGACCUGGCUGUCACUGGGUAACUUGCUGGAAGCUCAACAACCUCAGGAUGUGUAAUGAGUGGAAGCUCCGUGUUGAGCCAUGGUACGGAGCUGUGUAACACCGUGAGAGCAACCAAAGGUCUGCCCUCCUCUGGAAGAGCAUGGCUGACCCCAUCUUAAAAAUGGUGAUGAACCAUUUCUGGGUGACCCCAUCUUAAAAACGGUAACAAAGCGUUUCAAGGGGUUUGGAGACAAGCCCGUGAGAACAGUUGGAGACAUGCAAAACGUCUCUGCGCCCCAGCAGAAGUGCAGUGGCUGUUUAUUUAUUCCACAGCUAAAGCGCCUCAGUGUGCACAAGGCUUCGCAGACAAAUCGGACAGGUCUGUGCCUGAGGAGCCUGCCUUCCCAGCAAGACAGGGCACAGCCAAGGGAGGCCGAGCAAAGGCAGUGCGCCAGUGCCCGUGCAGGGCAGCAGAGGCAGCGAUGGGUAGGUCAGGGUCAGGGGUGGCACCGGAGCCCUCCCAGGGUGUGCACUCACCUUCCAGGAAGCCAGGCCCCCUGCGGUGCUGGCGUGCCGAGGGAGAGCUUCUGGUUUCAUUCUCUCUGAGGUGUGACGUGUCUACUUACGGCUAGGCUCCUGCGGGAAAUAUCCUGCAGACUCCACAGCCUGGGUUUCCACCGGCUUCUUUUCCGAUGCAUGCAGCUGGCUUUACGAGCAAACUGCGUGUUUGGAUGCACGGCAAAGCAGCUGGGGUGCACAGACAGCAGCAACAAAAACCUCAGCGAGGGUUUGAAUGCAAAAGCAAAUUCGGGGAGCAUCCGUGCUGUGCUGCCUCAACACGCAUACGCUCAACGUGUAGUUGUGCAAAUGGAUUUUAAGAUGAACUCUAACCAUAAAAAAGGUGGAAUUGUACAUUUCAUUGUAAAAUUCAGGACUGGUUACCAAACGUGGCACAAACCUGGUGUCAUUUGGUAUAAUUAGCUCGUCAUCAGCAGACCUAGGGAUGUUCAUCAACUGGGCUCGUCAUUUGGGGCCGUGGAAAACUUGGUAAAUCCUAUUCCAGUUGCUGAUAAUUUCAGAACAGAAGAAAAUAAUAUUAAUAGAAUAUGUUUUUGUUGCAUAUUACUUGCUCGGUUCUCGCAUUAUGUAUGCAAAUCGGGUAAUUUUGUACCUAAUUGCCUGAUUUGCAUGCAUAAAUGUAGGUUGCACAUGUGCAAAUGAUUUUAUUCAAAUUUAGUAUAUGCCUAAUGUGUAGAGCGGCUGAAAACUCGACUCUGUGUAUGGUUUGAAUCACUCCUCAUUUUCACUCAAGGAAAAAGCAAAAUUUAUCGCUGGUUUUGGAGGUCAGAUGAAAUGCAGAUGAGCUUCUGUGGGUGGUUUCGCAGGGGCAGGAACCCUGGGGCUGUGCACUUGUCCCGAGAAAUUAGCAGUGGUGUGAAUGCCCAGGGAGAUCCGUCCCUGAGAGGGAUCCUGGUGCUUUAAAAGCCAGCAGAAAAUCGCAGGAAAAUGUGACACUCGCCAAGUGGAAAAAGACAGAAUCAUUCGGAGAGAAAUGGAGGUUUUGAAGUCGAAGGUGGCUCAGCAGACAAUGAAACCUAAGACGAGAAGUGUAAAAAUACCUCCCUAAAAUCCGAGCGCAUUAAAAAUUCCUUCAGAUGAUUUCCUGGCUAGGGAAGGAAGGGGACUGACAGGUCUUGUGAAUGAAGUGAUCUAACCUCAGCAGAAGGAGACGGUGGGCAAGGGAUGUGAAAGCCCCGUUUGUUCUGCCGUCUCAUGUGCUUCACCUCCAGGGGAGGAAGACCUGGGGGAUGACUGGAGGAGGAACAGCUCGGGCUGCUUGCUGCUGGGUCCCUGGGAGUUCCCGGCGCGGGGAUGAGCGGCGAUGCGCUGUCACCGGCGGUUUUGUAACCGUGUGGAAGGGCAGGAAGCGUCCGGGGGGAAGUGAGCUGAAAUCUCCCAACAGCAUUUUUCUCUGCGGUGUCAGCUGCAGCCUAAUAAACAACGCGAGGCUGUUUUCUCCCUAUUACUCAGAACUCCUCUGCAAGCUUUAUUUGCAUACGCACGGGUGACAAAUCCCACUAAAAUAAGCAGGGAGCAAAAUUAGCAGCGAUUUGGAGGCAGAUCUGGACACACAGUACCAAAUUCUCCUUUAGGCAUGAAGCACAAGGGGGUCACAUAGGUGCGAUGGACGCCCCUGCUGCCCUCCCUCUGUGCUGGCAAGACCUGUGCAGUAAGUGCACUGGGUGGAAGGCAGGAUUUGGCACAAAAUCCCUUUGUGUCCACCCGAGGCCGGGUCUGUCACAGCUCUGCGGACACGGCUACGGUGUCAGAUCACCUCUGAGCAGCGUAGCCUCGCUAGUAAGGAGCCCUAGCACGGAUGUGUUUGGAAUGGCAAACCUGUGCUUGUCUUGGAACAGGUUCUUUCCCUUCAGCCAGGGAGGCAAGCUGCAGGGAAUGGUACUUUCCAUAGGAGGACAGAGCUGCAGCUGGAGGAGGGGAGGGGAGGGGGCUGCGUGGCACCACGCGUGGAUGGAGCCCCUGCUCCGCGUGGGGAGCGUGGCACAGCCUCAGCUCCUUCUCUCCACACCCUGGAGCCCACCCUGCUACUGCAAAAGCUUCACUGUGCGAGCCCUGCCUGCAUCUGCAGCGCUUUACCAGGUUACCUGCCCUAGAGCACUGCUCCCUGAUGCAGAUUUGACUUUGAGCUGCUUUUUUUUUUUUUUUUCCUCUCCCAGGAGAACAAAACAGUUUUGAUGUAAAUGAGACUCAAGCUCACCUUCUUUUUCCUACUGUUCUAUCACCGAGAGAGAUAAUACGACUUGACUAACACCGCGUCUUGCCUCUUUGUUUGUGUGCUACCCUCAUCAGAGCAGCACACGCAGAGCUCUGUACAAAAUAAAUAAACCAAAACCCUGGGCUCUAUUCCCAACUCGCUAUCUGAGUGUUUAGCUAAAGCACAACUUCUGCUCUAUUGGAGGGAUGCUCUGUUAUUUGACUCAAUACUGUUAUUUCUUCUUAUUUUUAUUUCAUCAUCGAGUAAAAAGACACUUCCCAUUUUCCAAUUUUUCAGUAGGAGUGAAAAACACUGCCUGAUGGUUGUGGAGAUUGAAGGUUUCUUGUUUUUCUCCGAAUGUGUAUAGCUUGGGUAGUAUUAACUUCCUACUCUCUGCAGCUUCCCGUUCCUCCCCAGUUCAGCGCUCGGGAUUGAUUCCACUCCCGAUCUCUUCGCCCAGCCUUUUACCCAGGGUGUUUUCUGCAAUUUGGGCAAUUACUGCCUGCUGCAAUGGAGGCUGGUGUGGUGGGCGGCACUUCUGGGAAAAUGAACUGAAACUACAAGCCCAUCUCGCAGCGCAGAGCAUGCAGAACAGGCAGCGUGCUUCAGCGGCUGUCGGCCCAGACAAUUCAGAUCUGGGGCUGGGGAGGGAGUCAGCCUAACACAUACAUGGUGAGCAGCACCAUCACUCGUCCCAAAGCAAAAACCCCAUGAAGGGGAGGACGCCGUAACCACACCAUGGCCAAGCUGGCACCAGCAUCCCAGCCUCUUGGCAUUGUCGCUGCGGAGGUCACUGCAGUUCCUUGCCUCAGACCUUACAUUGUUCCACCCUGCAUUUGUGCAGAGGGCACAGCUUGCUCCUGGUCGCCUUUUUUUCCUCUUUUUGUAAUCCCUGGUUGAUAACUGGAGGGGUCUGACAUUUCUGCGCGACCGAUAAGAGAAAGGAUUGCCAAAGAGCGAAUUCUUUCUGGAGCACAUCCCUCCCCUUGGGUUAAAUAUAGGUUGCAGCAUCCCCGUGUAAUGAAAAGAUCAGAAAGCAUUUACGCGCUGGUGUAGUUUAUGCCUGGUAAUAAUUGAGUAAAAAUUCACCAUUGUGAAAAUCAUACCUGCAAAGACACGCUUAGUCACUCUCUGGCUAAUGAGUCUGUAUUUUCAGUCAGCCUCUCCCUUACUGUAUUCGGUCCGUGCACUGAAAUACUUCCCAUAUAAACCAAAUCCUUCAGCCUUUGUGUUUUAUUGCCUUGUGAUUUGCUGUUGGCCGCAGCACCCUGGUUUAUUAUCUUACCAUGUGCACUGCGGUACUCGCAGUGGUGUCGUGCUGCAGGAUUGCACAGCGUGCCGGACCGGGGAUGUCCAAUCCUUUUGAUUAUAAAAAAUGAAAGCUAAUCUGGAGAGGUUUUACCACUGUGUAAAACUAGAUCAGUAUUGUAUUGCUGUCACCACAGACGCACAAUUUAGAACACAUUUACAGUUGCCAUAAACUCUUUGCUUUGUAACCUGAAAUCAUCCGUAAUGCCGGGCUGAAAAUCGGUAGGUUCAGCAAGGGGCUGAAAGCCGAGCCGCCCGACAAACCCUGCGAAACAUUCAGCCCUUCUAAUUGCAAGGCAAUCUCCAUAUCUUUUCUCCAUACGCACAUGUAUGCACAUGCAUGCCAAUCCUGCAUAUACAUCGGCGAGCUCACACGUUCGCAAGCUCGCGCACACAUUCGCAGGCUCUCGCACCCGGGGAACGUGCUCUGCAAUAGAGAUGGGACGCGGGGUAUUUUUGAAGGCAGAACAAGAUGACUGUAAAUCGACACUUCCACCCACUAAUGAAAAAAAGCCAAGAAAACCUCAGCAGAGAAUGAGUUUUAUAAUUAAUGCUGAACAAUUUUCAUUGACAAAGCAAAAAGAAGCAAGUGGAUGGCUGAUUUAAAUGUUGAAUGAUUAAUGCACGGCGAGGCGGCUGAGGAAAAAGACAAAUUCAGGAGCAGCUAUGGAAAUUUAUGUAUGAGGGAGUCAGCACCAUAUUCUGAUCUCAGUUACACAGUUGUAAAUCUGUUAUCUUAAUGGAAGUAUUCAGCUUUGCCAUUUGCAUACCAUAAGUGAAAAUAGAAUUUAACCCAGAAUGUGUUUGCAGCCGUGUGUUUGCGGCACUGAAAGGGAAGAGAUGUGUAUGUUUGCGUGCGAUAAACUGCAAAUGCAGGAGACUUUUUGUAUCUCGCAGGGAGAAACGGAGAGCCAGAAUGCAUGUGUGAGUGUGUACGUGCGUGCCAGCUGUGGGGCUGUCUGACAGGGAGUGGGAGGGUGAGAACGUGUUUGUUCCUAGACUCCCUGGUCGAGUGAAAAUGGCUCCUGGAAAUGCCGCUUCAGAUUAGAGAGUGACGGCUGGAGAGGUGGAGAUUUCAUUACCUUCCUCUUUGUGCGAUGCUUUGGACUUGGUAAUGUAAAAGCAGAGCUAUAAAUAAUCCAGUCACAGCUGUGGUGUCCUCGAGAUUUAUAGUGCCCGCUAAUGCCAGAAUCUUUGGGGUGUUUCACUACGUGCGGCAAAAUGAGGAAUAAUCGCCCCCCGAACAGCACGGACCCCACCUGGCAUUUCUCACGUGCCAGGCAAGGAAAAAUUCUCCAUCCCCCCAGGCAGCCGUGUGUGUUCCUACAUUUGUGUGCGGUGCCCAUCGCCACGCACCCAUCGUGCUGCCUCUCCCCUUUGCCUCGAGGGCUGAGGCUGAGCCCCACCGCCCUCCGUGCCCGUGCCGGAGAGGAGGGUGCGGAGGUCACAAGCAGCAGGCUGCCGUGCGCAGGCUUUUGAGAAGCAGGCACGGUAUUUUUAGCUGCUCCAGAUUCUCUCAUGGCUGGGAGAUGAUGCUGAGGAGUUUAUUGCCGUAAGGAUGUGCCUGGAAUACCAGGCAGCCUCAGAAAUGCACUGUGCCGCAGAGCCCUGACUCAGUGCCGCGCCGUGACUUUCCUGUGUUGCUUCCACGUUCGAAAGGGAGAAAAAAUGGUUCCUUGUGCUCCCGGCGCUGGAGGGACGCUGCUGUGAUUGACUGAGGAGCCCCGUUGUGGGGAAGGACAGCGGCUGGAGCUCUGGCCAAACAGAGGCCUGACCAGUGAAGCUGCCCUCGGAUUUCUUCUCAAAUAUUGCUCUACAUUUCUGUCCAAACAGCAGGGCUAAACACAUGCUGCUUCCUUAGUGUGUUUCCCAAGCACGCCGGCAGUGCCCCUCCAAGGAGCAUUCCCGCAGCGAUGCACACCCAGCGCUCCCAAACCUGCAGGGCCGUGCCAUGGGGUGGUUCUUCGAGUGGCCUUUCGGGGCAGGUGAGGGGCAAGAGCCCACUGAGCGUGGCCAGAAGGAGGUGGGCAGCCAGCACCUGAAGCGAGAGGGAUGGGAGCUGCCUCGGGGCACUGCCUGCAGCGAAUCCCGCAGGAAAUGAAGUGGAAUUUGGGGUUCUUCUGCCCACGGUGCAGGUGCACCCGCAGGCUGGUUUCUACCCAAAACCCUGCUUGAGUUGUGUGAACCAGUAUAACUGCAAAGUCAAUUCCUCUGUGUAGAAGUCGUGGAUGCUUUCCUGACCAUUUAAAUCCCACAGAAGGUAGCUUGCCCCUUCCGAGGCAAGUGAAACAACAGCAGUGCUGGCUGAGGAGAGGAGAUCCGUAUCCUAAGAUUAUUUGGGGACGAGCGCGAGGCAGACCGCAGGGACCCGGUAGGACACCGACAGGCUGGCACUGGAGAGGCACUGAAGUCGCCGUGUGUCCUCCCGGCCUUUGGCUCUAUCAGACUCCUCAAGGAAUGGGCUUUCCUCCAUCACUUCCUAGGGGAGGCUGUAAUAAAGAGGCUGAACCCCGGCAGCUCCUGCCCGAGUCCGAGGGCGCAGCGAGGCUCCCUGCUGCCCCCUUGUUGCUGCAAGUGACAGUGGAAGCACCGCGGGCUCCUGCUUCCUCCCUGGGCUGUGAGCUUGACUGAUGUCCUCGCAUUUGGGGGAAAGUCGUAGACCUCGCACAGGAAUGUCUGCCUCAUUGCUGUGGUAUCCGGAAUAAUAAAUAGAGCAAUUACAGCUGCAAUGCCGAGCAUUUGCCUGGGCUGCUGCGUCCUGGGAAGCGCGCAUGUGAACCGGGGGCAAGUUCUGGGGAGGGAGGUUUGCAGGCAGAGGCAGGAGCUGCUUUCGACUUUUAAUUCUUGCACAAUACAGAUGAGCUUUCAGACGUACGUACACGCUCGCCCUGCACAAGCUCACUUUCCUUGCAUGCUUAGGUCACCGCAGCUCCAAAAACACCCUGCUCUUAGCAAUGCUCGAGAAGAAGGCUGCAAGAGCAGCAGUAUUUCCUUUCCAAAGUGGCCCUGCGUAACACACACAGCACGGAGCAGCCCCGUGUGGGUACAGGAUAUGCCACAUUUCAGUUUCGUGUUACUCAUUCUAAGCUUUCCUUGGGUCAGCAGCGCUCAGAAAGCUGCUGCCAUCCAUAUCGCGGGGAGGAAACCCAUUUGGAGUUAUGCGAGUGGAUCGCAGCUCAGUUCCUGCUUGGUCUGUUGGUUGGUUUCUCUUCUGAAAAAAAUAAUCAAAUCAGAUUUAAAUUCCUCCUCGUUUGCAAAGGCCGGCAGCUAUGAAUGGGAUACGGAGAAUGAACUCUCCUCUGUCCAGCCAUGAAUGGUAGCCAGGUCAGGACUGAGCCGCAUUGGCAGGAGGCAGCGAUGUGGGAAGCGUGCCCUGCCAUUAUCUAUUCUGGAGACGAGCAGCAGAUUUAAUUCUCUGAGGAUCUCAAGCCUAUAAUAACAUCUCAAUGGGAAUACAAAGUCCUGACCCAGAAGGCAGUGGCGUGUUCUCCUCGCCCUCCCUAGUCGUGACUGCGAGCGCGGCUGCGCACCGAGGGAGCUGGGCAGCGCCCUGCUGGUGGAGGACACCCACCCGUGUCCUGCUCAGCCCCCGGGCAGCACGGCACACACUGGAAACCAGAAGGUAAAGGCUGAGCGCCUCGUGUAAUCUGCAGGAAGAAAUACACAUUUGCAUGUCUGCGUUAAGCAAGAAGCCCUUGCUGCUGGAACAGCGGUGUGCGUGCUUUCUCCCUCUUCCUGCUGCUCCCUGGGCCCACGGCCACAGGCGAGCACAGAAAACCCGCAAUUCUUCCUGAGCUGGCAUCGCUGGGUGACCUCAUGCACCUUCUUGUCACCUCAGCAGCUCCAGCUGCGGUGUUCCUCCUUAGAUUCAUUAUGAAAAUAUGUAACAUGGGAAGAAAGGAAGGAGCCCCAUGACCCAUGAGGCCUCUCCUGCUGCUCCCCACGGCCAGGCCAACGCCAACAGAGCCCAGCACCUCCCGAUGUGGUGAGGACACCGAGGGUGUGAGGGUGAGCUCAGGGCACUCCUGCCUCUUGGAAACACGAGGAAAGGCUCACAAGGUGACAAAACCCACCCGUGGUGGCCUUCCGCAUCUGAGGAUGUUUAGAAGGAUCUUGGCGAGGUGAUUCACUUACAGUAAUAAUCUUGAUUUCUCACAAAGCCAGGGCUUUUAGAGGACCGUGGGAUGCUUUCUGUCUCAUUUUUGCUUUGGUUCUGCUUUGUUUUUAUAAUUCUACAAAUCUCUUUUUAACCACACAUGCACAAGGUCAUCACUGGAAAAGCUGCGGGGGUCCCCUGCACCUUUUAGCGCUAAUGCUGCAUGUGCCUGUUUUUUUGUGUAUUUAUAAAGGAAACUGAAAUCGAAGCUUUCAUCCGAAGGGCGCUUUCCUCACAGCAGCGAGGCAGGGCACUGCUCAAGCCCCCCAACACAAAACACCAGCCACACGCUGCCUCCUCCACACCAGCUCCCGACCUCGCCGCUGAGCGCCUGAGCCGAGCCGAGUGCCCCGGCCUCCAUCUCGCUGCCUGCGGGAUGCAGCCUCACCCCCGGCCCUCCGUCCAGCCCUGCAGCAGCCAGCCCCCUGCCUGCAGCCCCCCCAGGGACGCUGACAUCUCGUCUUUUACACCCGCUUCUCCCGGAAAAGCCAGGAGGGGGAUUUCAACAGCACCAGGGGGGCUGGAGCCGGGGAGCUGCGGCGGCUGCCUGAGGAAUGCUCCGGUGGGGAAGUGGGGUUUCUCCUGGCCCUAUUGCCAGGCCAAGGUGGGCAGCACCGUCUCGCUGUGCCUGUGCGAAGCCAAGCGCCCUGGUACCGUGCAUCCUCUGGCUUUUCUUCCCCAACUCCCCCGCGAAGGGAAAAAGGCAGCGAGAGCCGCAGCGGGGGCUGCUUGGGGCCGCUGGGGCUCAGCCCCUGCACAAAAUGGGGCUGGGAGGGAUGGUGGAGGAGGGGCUGCGGAGCGUGCUGCUGACCUGCUGAAUUAUGACUUUAAUGCAGUCGCUUUAAUAACUUGCUGGAGCUCCAACCACCAGAUGCAAUUUAUGGCGAAGCAGGCGCCCAAGCAUUUUUCUUUCUAUGAAGACUAAGCAGAUCUCUGAUUACCGCCCCCUCCCCCCAGCCCAUUACCUUCCCCCGCUUGCUCUGCUAAUGGAAAAAUGUUAUGUGUCUGUGUGCUUUUUCCCCAAGCCCUGUUUUCAGGAAAUGGUGGAGAAUGAGAAACUAACACACGCGCGCGCACGCGUUUGAAGGAAAGAUGGCUUUUAUUCUCCCUCCUUCAACCACACAAAAUUCCUCCCGCUAGCACAAUAGCUGCUUCUCUUCCUAAAACCCUACAACCUCAGCCAGAAGCAAGGCAAAAUCCAUGAUUUAUUUGCAGGGAAAAAGAAAGGCAUUCCCUCCCCCCCCCCUUCCAUCUGACCAAAAUCAUCUGAAGUCUGACUGUUUUCCCUGCACAAUGCAGAGCCCGCUGCUGCUCGGAAGUCUCCCUCCUGCAACAAAGGCUCGAACACAACCUCGGAGCAAACCGACAAAAAAGCCGAACCUGGGACUGAUGGAUGGACGAGCUGAAUUGAAGUUUUAAUUUUUUAUUUGAUGCUUGUAUACAACAGCGAUGGCUGCAUUAAAAAAGCAAUCUAUAGAUAGGCAGACUGAUACCCCGCCAGUGCUCCUAUUUUAAAGACCCAUUCAUUUUGCGUCUGAAGGAUGAAUUCUGCCUCCCACUCUCCUCCUCUCGCUCCUUUUCUGCGAUUUGCGUGAUCGUUUGCUACAUAUAUUAUGAAUUACUGUUUAUCUUAGUCCGGGGCUUCAAAGCGAUUUCCCAAAUAAAUUUCACCGGAUCAAUAAA